GGGUUGUGAGGUUAAGCGACUAAGCGUACACGGUGGAUGCCCUGGCAGUCAGAGGCGAUGAAGGACGUGCUAAUCUGCGAAAAGCGUCGGUAAGGUGAUAUGAACCGUUAUAACCGGCGAUGUCCGAAUGGGGAAACCCAGUGUGAUUCGUCACACUAUCGUUAACUGAAUACAUAGGUUAACGAGGCGAACCGGGGGAACUGAAACAUCUAAGUACCCCGAGGAAAAGAAAUCAACCGAGAUUCCCCCAGUAGCGGCGAGCGAACGGGGAGCAGCCCAGAGUCUGAAUCAGCUUGUGUGUUAGUGGAACGGUCUGGAAAGUCCGACGGUACAGGGUGAUAGUCCCGUACACCAAAAUGCACAGGCUGUGAACUCGAAGAGUAGGGCGGGACACGUGGUAUCCUGUCUGAAUAUGGGGGGACCAUCCUCCAAGGCUAAAUACUCCUGACUGACCGAUAGUGAACCAGUACCGUGAGGGAAAGGCGAAAAGAACCCCGGCGAGGGGAGUGAAAAAGAACCUGAAACCGUGUACGUACAAGCAGUGGGAGCACCUUCGGGUGUGACUGCGUACCUUUUGUAUAAUGGGUCAGCGACUUAUAUUCUGUAGCAAGGUUAACCGUAUAGGGGAGCCGCAGGGAAACCGAGUCUUAACUGGGCGUUAAGUUGCAGGGUAUAGACCCGAAACCCGGUGAUCUAGCCAUGGGCAGGUUGAAGGUUGGGUAACACUAACUGGAGGACCGAACCGACUAAUGUUGAAAAAUUAGCGGAUGACUUGUGGCUGGGGGUGAAAGGCCAAUCAAACCGGGAGAUAGCUGGUUCUCCCCGAAAGCUAUUUAGGUAGCGCCUCGUGAAUUCAUCUUCGGGGGUAGAGCACUGUUUCGGCUAGGGGGUCAUCCCGACUUACCAACCCGAUGCAAACUACGAAUACCGAAGAAUGUUAUCACGGGAGACACACGGCGGGUGCUAACGUCCGUCGUGAAGAGGGAAACAACCCAGACCGCCAGCUAAGGUCCCAAAGUCAUGGUUAAGUGGGAAACGAUGUGGGAAGGCACAGACAGCCAGGAUGUUGGCUUAGAAGCAGCCAUCAUUUAAAGAAAGCGUAAUAGCUCACUGGUCGAGUCGGCCUGCGCGGAAGAUGUAACGGGGCUAAACCAUGCACCGAAGCUGCGGCAGCGACACUAUGUGUUGUUGGGUAGGGGAGCGUUCUGUAAGCCUGCGAAGGUGACCUGUGAGGGUUGCUGGAGGUAUCAGAAGUGCGAAUGCUGACAUAAGUAACGAUAAAGCGGGUGAAAAGCCCGCUCGCCGGAAGACCAAGGGUUCCUGUCCAACGUUAAUCGGGGCAGGGUGAGUCGACCCCUAAGGCGAGGCCGAAAGGCGUAGUCGAUGGGAAACAGGUUAAUAUUCCUGUACUUGGUGUUACUGCGAAGGGGGGACGGAGAAGGCUAUGUUAGCCGGGCGACGGUUGUCCCGGUUUAAGCAUGUAGGCUGGUUAUCCAGGCAAAUCCGGAUAAUCAAGGCUGAGGUGUGAUGACGAGGCACUACGGUGCUGAAGUAACAAAUGCCCUGCUUCCAGGAAAAGCCUCUAAGCAUCAGGUAACAUCAAAUCGUACCCCAAACCGACACAGGUGGUCAGGUAGAGAAUACCAAGGCGCUUGAGAGAACUCGGGUGAAGGAACUAGGCAAAAUGGUGCCGUAACUUCGGGAGAAGGCACGCUGGUGUGUAGGUGAAGUCCCUGCGGAUGGAGCUGAGACCAGUCGAAGAUACCAGCUGGCUGCAACUGUUUAUUAAAAACACAGCACUGUGCAAACACGAAAGUGGACGUAUACGGUGUGACGCCUGCCCGGUGCCGGAAGGUUAAUUGAUGGGGUUAUCCGUAAGGAGAAGCUCUUGAUCGAAGCCCCGGUAAACGGCGGCCGUAACUAUAACGGUCCUAAGGUAGCGAAAUUCCUUGUCGGGUAAGUUCCGACCUGCACGAAUGGCGUAAUGAUGGCCAGGCUGUCUCCACCCGAGACUCAGUGAAAUUGAACUCGCUGUGAAGAUGCAGUGUACCCGCGGCAAGACGGAAAGACCCCGUGAACCUUUACUAUAGCUUGACACUGAACAUUGAGCCUUGAUGUGUAGGAUAGGUGGGAGGCUUUGAAGCGUGGACGCCAGUCUGCGUGGAGCCAACCUUGAAAUACCACCCUUUAAUGUUUGAUGUUCUAACGUGGGCCCCUGACCGGGGUUGCGGACAGUGUCUGGUGGGUAGUUUGACUGGGGCGGUCUCCUCCCAAAGCGUAACGGAGGAGCACGAAGGUUAGCUAAUCCUGGUCGGACAUCAGGAGGUUAGUGCAAUGGCAUAAGCUAGCUUGACUGCGAGCGUGACGGCGCGAGCAGGUGCGAAAGCAGGUCAUAGUGAUCCGGUGGUUCUGAAUGGAAGGGCCAUCGCUCAACGGAUAAAAGGUACUCCGGGGAUAACAGGCUGAUACCGCCCAAGAGUUCAUAUCGACGGCGGUGUUUGGCACCUCGAUGUCGGCUCAUCACAUCCUGGGGCUGAAGUAGGUCCCAAGGGUAUGGCUGUUCGCCAUUUAAAGUGGUACGCGAGCUGGGUUUAGAACGUCGUGAGACAGUUCGGUCCCUAUCUGCCGUGGGCGCUGGAGAAUUGAGGGGGGCUGCUCCUAGUACGAGAGGACCGGAGUGGACGCAUCACUGGUGUUCGGGUUGUCAUGCCAAUGGCACUGCCCGGUAGCUAAAUGCGGAAGAGAUAAGUGCUGAAAGCAUCUAAGCACGAAACUUGCCCCGAGAUGAGUUCUCCCUGAGACUUUAAGUCUCCUGAAGGAACGUUGAAGACGACGACGUUGAUAGGCCGGGUGUGUAAGCGCAGCGAUGCGUUGAGCUAACCGGUACUAAUGAACCGUGAGGCUUAACCUUACAACGCCGAAG
rnacentral:rRNA from 2 species